UACAGAGGGUGCGAGCGUUAAUCGGAAUUACUGGGCGUAAAGCGUGCGCAGGCGGCUUCUCAAGUCAGGGGUGAAAGCCCAGAGCUCAACUCUGGAAUUGCCUUUGAGACUGAGUGGCUUGAGUACGAGAGAGGUGAGUGGAAUUCCCAGUGUAGAGGUGAAAUUCGUAGAUAUUGGGAAGAACACCGGUGGCGAAGGCGGCGACCUGGUCCUUGACUGACGCUGAGGCGCGAAAGCGUGGGGAGCAAACAGG
rnacentral:rRNA from 1 species